rnacentral:tRNA from 1 species
GGGAAAAUCAAACUUCCAUCGAAGAGAAGCAAAUGAAAGGCUUUC